GAUCCUGGCUCAGGAUGAACGCUGGCGGCGUGCUUAACACAUGCAAGUCGAACGGAUAAACCACUUCGGUGGACAUAGAGUGGCGAACGGGUGAGUAACACGUGCCCAACCUGCCCCCCGCACCGGGAUACCCCCGGGAAACCGGGAUCAAUACCGGAUGACGCGGGAAGGCCGCAUGGCCUUCCCGCCAAAGCCCAGGCGGCGGGGGAUGGGGGCGCGGCCCAUCAGGUUGACGGCGGGGUGACGGCCCACCGUGCCUACUACGGGUAGCCGGG
rnacentral:rRNA from 1 species